rnacentral:sRNA from 1 species
CACUAAACCUGACUGUACGGAAAUACUUUUUGUUGCACUGAAUUAAGCCGAUCAACACCUUUAACAAAAAGAUUUGAGGAAAGGCAGGGCCUCCG